rnacentral:lncRNA from 1 species
GUGGCAGCAUGCUGAACACUGAAACAAUAACAGCCCUGACUUCCUCCAACGUCAAUAGAGCAAGUUACCAGAGAGGAGUUUUGCAUUCUCUGAUGAAGAAGCUUGCCUUGAAAGUGGCUGUAGUCAAACUGAUAAAUCAAGGGCAGCAGAUGCUGGAGCUGAGGAGAAAGGCAAGAAGACAGUUAAAGGUUGCAUCCAUCUGUGAUAUGUCAAAGGAAGCUCUCAGACAAUAAAAUCCAUUAAAAAUAGGACAGAGAAAUUCUAGGAAAAGGAAUCUGUAAGAACAACACAAGAAGAGCGCUCAUCUUUUCACAGAACCCGUAUGAAAGAUUUGGCAUUCUUAAAAUAUCUCAAUAGUCAGCUAUGACCAGGAAUAUUCAUCCCACGCCCCACUUCUGCACACAGGAAGGGAAGAGCUAAUAACAGAAGAAUUUUCUUUCGGUGGCGGGAACAACUGUGUGAUGAUCAUCCCCCACCCAGUGUGGGAUUCCAGAAGAGAUCAAGGAUGCCCUGGCAAGAGCAUUAUUAUCUGUUGUGGAAGUCGCACAGCUUUUAUUAAUGAGAUUCCUAAUAAAGUAUUAAAACCCUGUAGCA